rnacentral:rRNA from 1 species
GAUGAACGCUGGCGGCGUGCCUAAUACAUGCAAGUCGAGCGAACAGACGAGGAGCUUGCUCCUCUGACGUUAGCGGCGGACGGGUGAGUAACACGUGGAUAACCUACCUAUAAGACUGGGAUAACUUCGGGAAACCGGAGCUAAUACCGGAUAAUAUAUUGAACCGCAUGGUUCAAUAGUUAAAGACGGUUUUGCUGUCACUUAUAGAUGGAUCCGCGCCGCAUUAGCUAGUUGGUAAGGUAACGGCUUACCAAGGCAACGAUGCGUAGCCGACCUGAGAGGGUGAUCGGCCACACUGGAACUGAGACACGGUCCAGACUCCUACGGGAGGCAGCAGUAGGGAAUCUUCCGCAAUGGGCGAAAGCUUGACGGAGCAACGCCGCGUGAGUGAUGAAGGUCUUCGGAUCGUAAAACUCUGUUAUUAGGGAAGAAAAAAUGUGUAAGUAACUAUGCACGUCUUGACGGUACCUAAUUAGAAAGCCACGGCUAACUACGUG